ensembl:lncRNA
UGUAGAUUAAUAAAUUAGUAGCAAGUACAAGCAAUAAGACUAGAUAGGACUUAGUGUUUUGGGAAUUGACCACAUUUAUGGAAACCAGCUCCGACUGUAUUGUUUCCUAGUUUUUGAGUGGGCCCAGGUCAUUAAGCCUCCUCAGAGCUCUCUAACCCUCUGCAGUCUUCAUUUAAAGUGUGAUGUGUAUACAACUAUAAUUCUGUAUGGCAGGAUAUUUUAAAAUUUCAACGGUGUCUACUAAAAGCCCUUUUAGCAAACAUGUUUUCAUUAUGGCAUAAAGCAGGAAAGAGGAAAGCUCCACCCACAGGGCUUGUAGGGGAUAGCUCACCUCUGAAGUACGGCUUGGCAAAUGCUCUUCUGACCACCGUGGCUGACUGGGAUAAACAGCUUCCCUUGGAGCCAUUCAGAAUUGCUAUGACAGCAUCCAGGACAGUGGUGCACAGACUGCAGCAGGAAGCCUGCACCGAAAUCCUGUUGUAGGGCAGGCGAAUGACAGAACGUUAGACAGAGGCACAGCUUUCAUAUUAGCUUUGCUAUCAAAGCCAAGAUGAUCCUGAUAGGGGGCUGCAUGGAAUGCCCCCCAAGUACAUGUGUUGGGGAAGUCAGGGAAGGAGGGACAUGGAAAUGAAAAGUAGUGUGAUUUUUGUUAUCUGGAGCCAAAGUACAGUCAGUAGAGUAGAAUGAACUUAACAGAGGCCCUAAGAAAAAGGGAAUAUAUUUUACAUAGUUUGAUAACUGAAGAAACAAAUAGGGAGGCUCCCAAUCAGCACAGCACCUGGUCCCUCCCAACAGGGAUAAGAUAAUGGUCUCAGUUCAAGAAUUCUCCAAAGCUAGAAAUAACAAGAAAUCCCAGAAAGUGGGGCUGGGAAAUGUAGCUUAGGUUGUUCUGUGAGCGAAUGUGGUAGGGGACAGGAUUGGGGACCAUGCUCUUGUACUUGCUUUAGCAGAGAUUUAUUCCUCGGUAGUGGAGAAGAGGGGAGAGAAAAUAGUCCACUUCCGCUACAAUUAUGGUAGUUCUUAGCAGGAGUGAAUUUUCAGCUGAACUAGGGGCAGGGUUCAUUAAAAUCCCAAGUUUCUUGCUUGGCUUACAUUCACUGCAUACAGUUUAGAGCGUCUUUGUUUUUGCAUUGUUAAGGGUGAAGUGCAGAAAGAAGGAAAAGAUCAGGGACAACCCACAAUCACCUACUUGUAAGAAGUAUAAUAUUUUCUGUCAUCUUUUACAUUUGUUUCAAUUUUUAAAAUAGAUUUAUAUCCACUUACACAUGAAUGUGAUGAAAAACAUUUUUUUAAAAGUAAUUGUAAUGCUGGAGUUGUCCUUCAGGCUGCUCCCAGCUGUAAGCAAUCUAAAAGGAAGUGAUGGAGGCAGAGGAGAAAGUUGGCUUCAACGCUUUGUGGUUCACAAAGACUUUAUAAAUAGUAGUGCCUUUUGGAGGGGAGGAUGGGAAAUGAAGAAGUCCACUGCAUUUAGAUUGACUAGCAUUGCAGUAUUUUUCUUUAUUUUAAAGUAUCUUUUAAAUGGAAACUGCUGAAUAUAGAACAGGACCAGGAAUUCUUGAGCUUCUGCCUCACUAUUCCAGAUUCAUGCUUUCUAACAGAAAGUUUUUGUUGUUUGCCGCCCCACACAUCCCCAUUGUUAAAAUGGUAGUGGGUGGGUGUGGGGAGGAUGAAGGACACUAAUCACAUAGGAAUGUUGAGAAAAUACUAUUGUUGAGACAUCUAUAAAAUGCUCUCAUUUUUUAAAAGUGCUACACACUGCCAGUGCUAAGAAUUUUAUUGAUAGUAACUUUGAACAUUCCAGGUUUUCAAUAUUCAUGUCUUUAGAUACCAUUUACAAACUCAUGAGGUUAAAUUCUAUAAAGUGCUUCUAUUGGAAGUAGUACGUGCUCUUUGUCUAAAUGUUAUUUGGUUUUACCCUAUAAUUUUGGUCAUUUAAAAGCUUGUCUACAGACAAAGAUUAGGAGAGCUGAUGAAGUCUCAGGUCCAUAAACUGUUUUCUCCACUAUUUCUUAUGGGAGAUGAGAAGAUUAAGAUGCAAAGUUACCUUCGCUUCUCAAGCUUUACGCUCUGGCAAAAUGGACAGAGAAGAACCCAAACAGCCAAUUUCCUCACUAAGAUAGCAGAAGUGAGGACAGUAUAUCUUCCAAUAUCAUCACCAUUCGUAUCUUUAGUCUCACAAGAACCUAUUAGAAGAGCCAAAAUAGGUGCCCAGGGAUAGAAAUGAAUUGGGCUGUUGGUUUUUGGAGGGAACACUUGGAUCAAUUUCUUUUUUUUUUGGACAGUUAGGUCUUUCAGGAAUAGCAUAUUUGUGGUUCCAUAGCCUCCAUGAUUUGAUACAGCCUGUGAGUCAGUCAUUACUUUUUUUUCUUGCCUAUGUGGAAGAACAUGGAAAUUUAGACUUGUGAGAAUAUGAAGGAACAAAUAUGACGUAAACUAAAUGGUGCAUCAACUAAAACUUUCUCUGAUGCAUUUGAUAGAGGAGGAAAUAUUUUGAACAUAAAGGGUCUCUGUAGUAGGGCAAGAAUGCAGACUCACCACUCCCUUAUUCGGGAUAGCCAGCGAAUUGUAUGAAUUGUACUAGAUGGGUUUUGAGGAAUGUAGACUGUAAUCCUUUCUCUUCUGGCUAGCAUCCCUGUGGAGUCUGAGUCAGGCAAACACAGAGUGUGAGCUUUCAGUGGAUUUAUUUGUAAAACUGCAUCAUGAUCUUUCUUUGCUACUUAAAAUCUAGAGAUCUUUUGGGAAUGAAUGAUUAGGCUGGGGGUAGGCUUAGGGGAAAACAGAACAUGCUCCCUCAAGAAAAAGGAAACUCUAUGUUAAUAUUUAUUUUUUGAAAACAGUAAAGCUCUCAGUUUCAUUAAUUCUAGAGGGUUAAAAAGGACUGAAAUAUGUCCAUAGCACUAGAUGUUUUUAAUCAUGUUGUUCACAUGAAAAAUCUAUACAGAAGUCUCAUAAGGCCAUAUUUUUAUGAAUGGGAUUUCUUCCUUAUUUUCAAUAUAUAUACUGAAUAUAUAGAGAGAAGUUAGAGGAGAGGAAAAAAACAGUAACUCUAAGGUAAUGUUUCAUUUUUAAAGGACAUUUAUGGAAAGCCUAAAUUUAAUACUCACAGGCUAUUGUGAUUUCCUAUCAGCCUGUUUGUAGAGACAUUCUCAAAUGUGGUCAGGUGUAGUUUUUAUUCAAAUGAUCAAAAUAACAGUUUAGUCAGAUAACUUAUUUCAGAAAAUGAGGUUAGCGAGAAAAGGGAGAAUGGUAGAAAAAGUGCAAAUACCAAUGUUUGGAAUGCCAACUCCUGAUGUUUAAUUUAACCAGGUGGAUUUGCUAGUCCAGGGUUAGCAACAUAGGAGUCCCAUAAAUCCCUGACUCCCAUCAGGAACCUAACCCAUGUUCUGGGGUACUAUGGAGACUGUUACCAUGACCUCAUAGACUGUGGCUAUGAAUUUGAAGUUAACAAAACAUAUAUCUUCUCUUACUAAUUUAAGCCAUAUCUGUCAUUAUUUUGUUGGAUUUUUUUUUUUACCCUGGUGCUUUUAUUUCUGUUUCUGCCAAAACUUCAGCCUACUCUAUGGGGAAGGUGAGUAAAACUAAUGGUAGGACAAAUACAAAGACUGUGAAAAAGCUGAACAUACUCUUGACAAUGAGAUCCUAUUCAGAGAGCAGUAGUGAUCCAAGUGCAACUGUUGGAAAAUAUAGAUAUGUGUACAUCUGUACAUGUACAUAGUGUAUAAUAUGUAUGUAUAUGUUAUUGCUCAUAUGCAGAAAUCUAUCCAUUUGCAGACAGCCCAGGUAGGACAGUGUUUUUACUGGAAAACCAUUCAGGGCCAUUCAAAACCAUUAGGGCUAAUUUGUGGAGACAAACUCUGCUCAGUAGGAAUUUGCUGUCCUUUGAAGUCCACAGAGCCAACUAACAAAAUGUGAAACAGCAGGACCAUCAUUUAGGCUAUUUGUUUACCUAGACUCAGAGGUCUCUUUAUAUUUGAAUUAUUCAUAUUUGGUUUGCAAAUUACAUUGGCACCUCUUGGUUUUGAGUGACCUCCUCACAAGUCUUUUGCAAAUUUUUGAUGGGCUUCUCUGACUAUUCAGAUAAAGGGCCUUAUCCAUAGUGGACAGGUUUCCCCAUAGGGACCAUUAUACAUAUACAUAUAAGUACAUACUUCCAUCAGGCUUGUAACACUUGAUUUUAAAACACUCCACAGUAUUGAUAAAUAGCUCUAUAUUUUCAAGGUGCAGAAGAAUUCCACAGCCUUAAUUAUUUCAGUGUCUUGCUGGUCUGCCUUAAGUGUAUCUUCUGGGUUUUUGUUGUUUUAUCAUUUUUAAAUUUUUCUGCAGUUGUUCAUUUUGUAUGCACACAAUGUCGUUUUGUAAAGGUAGGUUGUAAAUAUUUUAUUUGUAAGUCAAACUCAUUCAUGUGUAAUGUUGUAAAGUGAUGAUCUGCUGUCUUGUUAUUAUUACUACAGUAAAUGUUAUGUUAUGAAUGAAACU